UACAGAGGGGGCAAGCGUUAUUCGGAAUUAUUGGGCGUAAAGGGCGCGUAGGCGGCCUGGCAAGUGGAAGGUGAAAUCCCUCGGCUUAACCGAGGAACUGCCCUCCAAACUGCUUGGCUUGAGUCCGGGAGAGGUGAGUGGAAUUCCCAGUGUAGCGGUGAAAUGCGUAGAUAUCAGGAGGAACACCGGUGGCGAAGGCGGGUCUCUGGGCAGUAACUGACGCUGAGAAGCGAAGGCGUGGGGAGCGAACAGG
rnacentral:rRNA from 1 species